ACGCUGGCGGCACGCCUAACACAUGCAAGUCGAACGCAGUAGCAAUACUGAGUGGCAAACGGGUGAGUAUAAUGUGGGAAUCUGCCUUUUGGUUUGGAAUAACACGGGGAAACUUGUGCUAAUACCGAAUAAGCCUUUACAGGGAAAGUUUUAACGCCGAAAGAUGAGCCCGCACUUGAUUAGCUAGUUGGUAAGGUAAAAGCUUACCAAGGCAAUGAUCAAUAGCUGUUCUUAGAGGAAGACCAGCCACAUUGGGACUGAGACACGGCCCAGACUCCUACGGGAGGCAGCAGUGGGGAAUCUUGCACAAUGGGGGAAACCCUGAUGCAGCGAUGCCGCGUGAGUGAAGAAGGCCUUUGGGUUGUAAAACUCUUUCGUCGGGGAAGAAAAUGACUGUACCCGAAUAAGAAGGUCCGGCUAACUUCGUGCCAGCAGCCGCGGUAAUACGAAGGGACCUAGCGUAGUUCGGAAUUACUGGGCUUAAAGAGCUCGUAGGUGGUUAAAAAAGUUGAUGGUGAAAUCCCAAGGCUUAACCUUGGAACUGCCAUCAAAACUUUUUAGCUAGAGUGUGAUAGAGGUAAGUGGAAUUUCUAGUGUAGAGGUGAAAUUCGUAGAUAUUAGAAAGAACACCAAAUGCGAAGGCAACUUACUGGGUCACUACUGACACUGAGGAGCGAAAGCAUGGGUAGCGAAGAGGAUUAGAUACCCUCGUAGUCCAUGCCGUAAACGAUGUGUGCUAGACGUUGGAAAUAUAUUUUUCAGUGUCGCAGCGAAAGCAUUAAGCACACCGCCUGGGGAGUACGACC
rnacentral:rRNA from 1 species